CCGGAAGCGGAGGAAGCGCGCCCGCCCACUCCGCCCUGCUGCGUCCAGGUGGGAAGCUAGUUGUUCGGGUUUCACUAGAAGGAAUGCUUUGUGGCAAGACUGGAAGUUACCGUCACGUCCCAUUCUGGGCUGCAGCUGCUGAGAGAUCCUGGGACCUCUAACAUAAGCCGGCAGAAGAGACGAAUUCUACCAGUCGGUCUCCCAGAUCUCUGCCUGCAGUAUCCAGUCAACCCAAGAAUGCACGGCAAAAUGAGGAAACAACUGACAAGUGAAGAGUCUGCACAAUGGAAAACCACCCUGACCAUCACUUGGCAUUAUAGGGGUCACAGGAAUAGAGGGG